GACGAACGCUGGCGGCGUGCUUAACACAUGCAAGUCGAACGGAAAGGUUCGGCUUUUGUGGGGUGCUCGAGUGGUGAACGGUUGAGUAACACGUGACUAACCUCCCCUUGACUUUGGGAUAACGUCAGGAAACUGGGGCUAAUAUCGGCUAGGAGCUCCUGCUGCAUGGUGUGGGCUGGAAAGUUUCGGCGGUUGGGGCUGGACCUACGGCUUAUCAGCUUGUCGGUGGGUUGGUGCCUCACAUAGCCUUUGACGGGUAGCCGGCCUGAGAGGGUGACCGGCCACAUGGGAACUGGGAUACGGCCCAGACGCAGACGGGAGGCAGCAGUGGGGAAUAUUGCACAAUGGGCGGAAGCCUGAUGCAGCAACGCCGCGUGCGGGAUGACGGCCUUCAAGUUGUAGACCGCUUUCGCCUGUGACGAAGCGUGAGAGACGGUAAUGGGUAGAGAAGCACCGGCUAACUACGUG
rnacentral:rRNA from 1 species